CCUACGGGUGGCAGCAGUGAGGAAUAUUGGUCAAUGGGCGGAAGCCUGAACCAGCCAAGUAGCGUGCAGGAUGACGGCCCUACGGGUUGUAAACUGCUUUUAUACGGGAAUAACGCGCCUUACGUGUAGGGUUUUGCAUGUACUGUAUGAAUAAGGACCGGCUAAUUCCGUGCCAGCAGCCGCGGUAAUACGGAAGGUCCGGGCGUUAUCCGGAUUUAUUGGGUUUAAAGGGAGCGUAGUGGGGAUGUCAAGUCUGCUGUGAAAUGUUCGGGCUCAACCCGAGACUUGCAGUUGGAACUGGCAUUCUUGAGUACGCGGAAGGCAGGCGGAAUUCGUCGUGUAGCGGUGAAAUGCUUAGAUAUGACGAAGAACCCCGAUUGCGAAGGCAGCUUGCUACAGCGGAACUGACGCUGAUGCUCGAAAGCGCGGGUAUCAAACAGGAUUAGAUACCCCAGUAGUC
rnacentral:rRNA from 1 species